rnacentral:rRNA from 1 species
UGGCGGACGGGUGAGUAAUGUCUGGGAAACUGCCCGAUGGAGGGGGAUAACUACUGGAAACGGUAGCUAUACCGCAUAACGUCGCAAGACCAAAGAGGGGGACCUUCGGGCCUCUUGCCAUCGGAUGUGCCCAGAUGGGAUUAGCUAGUAGGUGGGGUAACGGCUCACCUAGGCGACGAUCCCUAGCUGGUCUGAGAGGAUGACCAGCCACACUGGAACUGAGACACGGUCCAG